rfam:Streptomyces avermitilis MA-4680 = NBRC 14893 DNA, complete genome.
CUUGACCGAGCCCAGCCACAGCGGCCCCUCGCCGGCACGGUCCUGUCCGUAGGUCGCGAGGAGGGCCUGGGCCUC